rnacentral:rRNA from 1 species
CCAGUCUGCAUGGAGCCGACCUUGAAAUACCACCCUUUAAUGUUUGAUGUUCUAACGUGGACCCGUAAUCCGGGUUGCGGACAGUGUCUGGUGGGUAGUUUGACUGGGGCGGUCUCCUCCUAAAGAGUAACGGAGGAGCACGAAGGUUGGCUAAUCCUGGUCGGACAUCAGGAGGUUAGUGCAAUGGCAUAAGCCAGCUUGACUGCGAGCGUGACGGCGCGAGCAGGUGCGAAAGCAGGUCAUAGUGAUCCGGUGGUUCUGAAUGGAAGGGCCAUCGCUCAACGGAUAAAAGGUACUCCGGGGAUAACAGGCUGAUACCGCCCAAGAGUUCAUAUCGACGGCGGUGUUUGGCACCUCGAUGUCGGCUCAUCACAUCCUGGGGCUGAAGUAGGUCCCAAGGGUAUGGCUGUUCGCCAUUUAAAGUGGUACGCGAGCUGGGUUUAGAACGUCGUGAGACAGUUCGGUCCCUAUCUGCCGUGGGCGCUGGAGAACUGAGGGGGGCUGCUCCUAGUACGAGAGGACCGGAGUGGACGCAUCACUGGUGUUCGGGUUGUCAUGCCAAUGGCACUGCCCGGUAGCUAAAUGCGGAAGAGAUAAGUGCUGAAAGCAUCUAAGCACGAAACUUGCCCCGAGAUGAGUUCUCCCUGAGACUUAGAGUCUCCUGAAGGAACGUUGAAGACGACGACGUUGAUAGGCCGGGUGUGUAAGCGCAGCGAUGCGUUGAGCUAACCGGUACUAAUGAACCGUGAGGCUUAACCUUACA